rnacentral:rRNA from 1 species
AGCAGCCGCGGUAAUUCCAGCUCCAAUAGCGUAUAUUAAAGUUGUUGCAGUUAAAAAGCUCGUAGUUGAAUUUCGGGGUUAGUAGUUUGGUCGUGCCAAUGGUAUGUACUGGGCUCACUGAUUCCUCCUUCCUGAUGAACUGUAAUGCCAUUAAUUUGGUGUUGCAGGGAAACAGGACUGUUACUUUGAAAAAUUAGAGUGUUUAAAGCAAGCUAACGCUUGAAUACAUUAGCAUGGAAUAAUGAAAUAGGACGUUCGAACCUAUUUUGUUGGUUUCUAGGAUUGACGUAAUGAUUAAUAGGGAUAGUUGGGGGCAUUAGUAUUCAAUUGUCAGAGGUGAAAUUCUUGGAUUUAUUGAAGACUAACUACUGCGAAAGCAUUUGCCAAGGAUGUUUUCAUUAAUCAAGAACGAAAGUUAGGGGAUCGAAGACGAUCAGAUACCGUCGUAGUCUUAACCAUAAACUAUGCCGACUAGGGAUCGGAUGAUGUUAAUUUUUAAUGACUCAUUCGGCGCCUUAAC